rnacentral:rRNA from 1 species
GUGAGUAGUUCAGAGUUUUGAUCCUGGCUCAGGAUGAACGCUAGCUACAGGCUUAACACAUGCAAGUCGAGGGGCAGCGGGGAUCUAGCUUGCUAGAUUUGCCGGCGACCGGCGCACGGGUGAGUAACACGUAUCCAACCUGGCCCAUACUCGGGUAUAGCCUCUCGAAAGGGAGAUUAAUCCCCGAUGUUGUUGUUUCACCGCAUGGUGUACCAACCAAAGAAUUUCGGUAUGGGAUGGGGAUGCGUUCCAUUAGCUUGUUGGCGGGGUAACGGCCCACCAAGGCGACGAUGGACAGGGGUUCUGAGAGGAAGGUCCCCCACACUGGAACUGAGACACGGUCCAG